CCUACGGGGGGCAGCAGUGGGGAAUAUUGGACAAUGGGGGCAACCCUGAUCCAGCCAUGCCGCGUGUGUGAAGAAGGCCCUCGGGUUGUAAAGCACUUUCAGGGAGGAAGAACGCCUGGUGGUUAAUACCCAUCAGGAAAGACAUCACUCACAGAAGAAGCACCGGCUAACUCCGUGCCAGCAGCCGCGGUAAUACGGAGGGUGCGAGCGUUAAUCGGAAUUACUGGGCGUAAAGCGCGCGUAGGUGGCUUGAUAAGCCGGUUGUGAAAGCCCCGGGCUCAACCUGGGAACGGCAUCCGGAACUGUCAAGCUAGAGUGCAGGAGAGGAAGGUAGAAUUCCCGGUGUAGCGGUGAAAUGCGUAGAGAUCGGGAGGAAUACCAGUGGCGAAGGCGGCCUUCUGGACUGACACUGACACUGAGGUGCGAAAGCGUGGGUAGCAAACAGGAUUAGAUACCCGGGUAGUC
rnacentral:rRNA from 1 species